AAGAAUCCUGAGCCCAAUACAAAGGGGCUUGGCCAUUUCUUCUUGUUGUUCUUGUUACUAUUUUCCCCUCCUCCAGCUUUGUCUUUGACACUUGCAUUCAAUCCUGAUUCAUUCAUUGCGUCCACUGCAAUAUCAUCAUGAUUUUUACACAACAUAAAUUAAUUAACCCAAGACUGAUCCCUGGACAUUUCAUAAAAUUAGAAUUUUGAGCUGUGAAAUAGAUGUGGAAAAAUUGUCACCCACAGCCGCUACCCUUCAGGUGCGCACCGGGUAAACCCACGAACUCACGUAAUAGCCUACAAACUAUGUGAACCAAUUACCGAUCAUCUCUCGUAACGAAAACAACGGAAAGAGCGUGACUAAUUGUAAAAGAAGUGAUACCAAUUUGGAUAUGGGAAGUAAGGAGGGAUUGAUGAUGAACGAUGACAGUUUUGGAUGGCACCACCACCGUCACUUCCGU
rnacentral:lncRNA from 1 species